CGAUUAGAGUUUGAUUCUGGCUCAGGAUGAACGCUGGCGGCGUGCUUAACACAUGCAAGUCGAACGGAGCUAUGACACGGAGUCUUCGGAUGAAGUGCUAUUGCUUAGUGGCGGACGGGUGAGUAACACGUGAGCAACCUACCUUUUGCAGGGGAAUAACUCUGGGAAACCAGAGCUAAUACCGCAUGUCGUGCACAUGGGGCAUCCCAGGUGCAUGAAAGGAGCAAUCCGGCAGAAGAUGGGCUCGCGUCCGAUUAGGUAGUUGGAGAGGUAAUGGCUCUCCAAGCCGACGAUCGGUAGCCGGACUGAGAGGUCGAUCGGCCACAUUGGGACUGAGACACGGCCCAGACUCCUACGGGAGGCAGCAGUGGGGAAUAUUGGGCAAUGGGCGGAAGCCUGACCCAGCGACGCCGCGUGAAGGAGGAAGGCUUUCGAGUUGUAAACUUCUUUGGGGAGGGACGAAGAUGACGGUACCUCCAGAACAAGCCAUGGCUAACUACGUGCCAGCAGCCGCGGUAAUACGUAGGUGGCGAGCGUUAUCCGGAUUUACUGGGUGUAAAGGGCGCGCAGGCGGCCCUGGAAGUCAGAUGUGAAAGAUCAAGGCUUAACUUUGACAGGUCAUCUGAAACUUUGGGGCUUGAGUAUCAGAGGGGAAAGUGGAAUUCCUAGUGGAGCGGUAAAAUGCACAGAGAUUAGGAGGAACACCGGUGGCGAAGGCGACUUUCUGGCUGACAACUGACGC
rnacentral:rRNA from 1 species